GCAUGGCCUUGCGCCGGCGAUGGUUCAUUCAAAUUUCUGCCCUAUCAACUUUCGAUGGCAGGGUCUUGGCCUGCCAUGGUUACAACGGGUAACGGAGGGUUAGGGCUCGACCCCGGAGAAGGAGCCUGAGAAACGGCUACUACAUCCAAGGAAGGCAGCAGGCGCGCAAAUUACCCAAUCCCGAUUCGGGGAGGUAGUGACAAUAAAUACUGAUACAGGGCUCUUUUGGGUCUUGUAAUUGGAAUGAGUACAAUUUAAAUCCCUUAACGAGGAACAAUUGGAGGGCAAGUCUGGUGCCAGCAGCCGCGGUAAUUCCAGCUCCAAUAGCGUAUAUUAAAGUUGUUGCAGUUAAAAAGCUCGUAGUUGAACCUUGGGCCUGGCUGGCCGGUCCGCCUCACCGCGUGCACUGGUUCGGCCGGGCCUUUCCCUCUGGGGAACCCUAUGGUCUUCACUGAUCGUAGCGGGGAACCAGGACUUUUACUGUGAAAAAAUUAGAGUGUUCAAAGCAGGCCUAUGCUCGAAUACAUUAGCAUGGAAUAAUAAAAUAGGACGUGUGGUUCUAUUUUGUUGGUUUCUAGGACCGCCGUAAUGAUUAAUAGGGACAGUCGGGGGCAUCAGUAUUCAAUUGUCAGAGGUGAAAUUCUUGGAUUUAUUGAAGACUAACUACUGCGAAAGCAUUUGCCAAGGAUGUUUUCAUUAAUCAGGAACGAAAGUUAGGGGAUCGAAGACGAUCAGAUACCGUCGUAGUCUUAACCAUAAACUAUGCCGACUAGGGAUCGGACGGUGUUAUUUUUUGACCCGUUCGGCACCUUACGAGAAAUCAAAGUCUUUGGGUCUGGGGG
rnacentral:rRNA from 2 species